AUGAGUCUCAGUCUAGGGGUCCAAAAAGGCUGUAGAUUCGUUAGAUAGAGUAGCAGUGAUUAGUUGGUUAGCCUUCUAUAUUCCAGAAGGCCCGUCUUUCAGAUUAUGUCCCUUAUUAUCGUUUUGGUCUGCUGGGGGCCUUGUCCUAGUUUUCAGAAAGUUUUCAGAUUUUCUUGUAGUAAAGAUUUAGCCGACUGAGUCCGAUGUUAUUAGAUGUAGUUGAUUUUCAAUUUUCA
rnacentral:lncRNA from 1 species